GUGGGGAAUAUUGGACAAUGGGCGCAAGCCUGAUCCAGCCAUGCCGCGUGUGUGAAGAAGGCCUUUUGGUUGUGAAGCACUUUAAGCGAGGAGGAGGCUCCUUUAGUUAAUACCUAAAGAGAGUGGACGUUACUCGCAGAAUAAGCACCGGCUAACUCUGUGCCAGCAGCCGCGGUAAUACAGAGGGUGCGAGCGUUAAUCGGAUUUACUGGGCGUAAAGCGUGCGUAGGCGGCUUUUUAAGUCGGAUGUGAAAUCCCUGAGCUUAACUUAGGAAUUGCAUUCGAUACUGGAAAGCUAGAGUAUGGGAGAGGAUGGUAGAAUUCCAGGUGUAGCGGUGAAAUGCGUAGAGAUCUGGAGGAAUACCGAUGGCGAAGGCAGCCAUCUGGCCUAAUACUGACGCUGAGGUACGAAAGCAUGGGGAGCAAACAGGAUUAGAUACCCGGGUAGUCC
rnacentral:rRNA from 1 species